rnacentral:lncRNA from 1 species
AUGACCAACACAAAGGGAAAGAAGAGGGGCACCCACUACAUGUUCUCUAGGCCUUUUAGAAAACAUGGAGUUGUUCCUUUGGCCACAUACAUGCAAAUCUACAAGAAGGGUGAUAUUGUAGAUAUCAAGGGAAUGGGUACUGUUCAAAAAGGAAUGCCCCAUGAAUGUUGCCAUGGCAAAACUGGGAGAGUCUACAAUGUUACCCAGCAUGCUGUUGUCAUCAUUGUAAACAAACAAGUUAAGGACAAGAUUCUUGCCAAGAGAAUUAAGGUGCGUAUGGAGCAUAUUAAGCACUCUAAGAGCCGAGAUAGCUUCCUGAAAUGUAUGAAGGAAAAUGAUCAGAAAAAGAAGGAAGUCAAAGAGAAAGGGACUUGGGUUCAGCUGAAGUGCCAGCCUGCUCCACCCAAAGAAGCACACUUUGGGAGGACCAAUGGAAAGGAACCCAAACUGUUGGAGCCCAUUCCCUAUGAAUUUAUGGCCUGA